AGAUUAAACAUAAGAGUUUGAUCCUGGCUCAGAUUGAACGCUGGCGGCAUGCUUUACACAUGCAAGUCGAACGGCAGCACGGAGAGCUUGCUCUCUGGUGGCGAGUGGCGAACGGGUGAGUAAUGCAUCGGAACGUACCGAGUAAUGGGGGAUAACUGUCCGAAAGGAUGGCUAAUACCGCAUACGCCCUGAGGGGGAAAGCGGGGGAUCUUAGGACCUCGCGUUAUUUGAGCGGCCGAUGUUGGAUUAGCUAGUUGGUGGGGUAAAGGCCUACCAAGGCGACGAUCCAUAGCGGGUCUGAGAGGAUGAUCCGCCACAUUGGGACUGAGACACGGCCCAAACUCCUACGGGAGGCAGCAGUGGGGAAUUUUGGACAAUGGGGGGAACCCUGAUCCAGCCAUGCCGCGUGUCUGAAGAAGGCCUUCGGGUUGUAAAGGACUUUUGUUAGGGAAGAAAAGCUGGGUG
rnacentral:rRNA from 1 species